rnacentral:rRNA from 1 species
UGCAACACCAAUCCCUUCAGCUUUCACUUUCGGCCCCUAUGACGCUCUCCUACUCCAAGCAAGAGGUCGGUCAAGGUUCGUGCCCGUUAAAAGCAGACAGGAAGGAAGAAGGCUCCGCCUCAUCAAGUCAGGGAGGUACACCUGAGCCAUGGUGCCGUGGAGGCUGGAGGCGCGACUGGCGGAGACGGUGCGGGUUCCUUGGCUGGCUCUUCUUCUGCAUCACCGUCGCCAGCGAUGUCGCGCAUGCGCUCAGAAGCAGCAAUCUCCCCAUCUAAGGCCGGCAGCCAAGACCGACUCUGCGCCUAUAAAGUGGCAGUUCAUUGGGCGUGCAGGAAGAAAAUUGAUUUACAGCAGUGUAACCAGUC